GAUGAAGAACGUAGCAAAAUGAGAUAAGUAAUGUGAAUUGCAGAAUUCAGUGAAUCAUCGAAUCUUUGAACGCACAUUGCGCCCGCUGGUAUUCCGGCGGGCAUGCCUGUUCGAGCGUCAUUUCAACCCUCAAGCCCCCGGGUUUGGUGUUGGGGAUCGGCUCUGCCCUUCUGGGCGGUGCCGCCCCCGAAAUACAUUGGCGGUCUCGCUGCAGCCUCCAUUGCGUAGUAGCUAACACCUCGCAACUGGAACGCGGCGCGGCCAUGCCGUAAAACCCCAACUUCUGAAUGUUGACCUCGGAUCAGGUAGGAAUACCCGCUGAACUUAAGCAUAUCAAUAAGCGGAGGA
rnacentral:misc_RNA from 1 species